rnacentral:rRNA from 1 species
GAUGAACGCUGGCGGCGUGCCUAAUACAUGCAAGUCGAGCGAACAGACGAGGAGCUUGCUCCUCUGACGUUAGCGGCGGACGGGUGAGUAACACGUGGAUAACCUACCUAUAAGACUGGGAUAACUUCGGGAAACCGGAGCUAAUACCGGAUAAUAUAUUGAACCGCAUGGUUCAAUAGUGAAAGACGGUUUUGCUGUCACUUAUAGAUGGAUCCGCGCCGCAUUAGCUAGUUGGUAAGGUAACGGCUUACCAAGGCAACGAUGCGUAGCCGACCUGAGAGGGGGACGGGCCCCCGUGGAAUUGGGACACGGCCCAAACCCCUAGGGGGGGCCAGAGGAGGAAAUUUUCCGAAAUGGGGGAAACCCUGAGGGGGAAACGCCGGGGGGGUGAUGAAGGUUUUCGGAUUGAAAAACUUUGUUAUUGGGGAAGAAAAAAUGUGAAAGUAACUAUGCCCGUUUUGAGGGUACCUAAUCAGAAAGCCCCGGCUAACUACGG